AAACGACUCUCGGCAACGGAUAUCUUGGCUCACGCAUCGAUGAAGAACGUAGCAAAAUGCGAUACUUGGUGUGAAUUGCAGAAUCCCGUGAACCAUCGAGUUUUUGAACGCAAGUUGCGCCCGAAGCCUUUUGGUCGAGGGCACGUCUGCCUGGGCGUCACAC
rnacentral:rRNA from 1 species